UUUUUAUUACCAAAUUCUUUCUCUUUUCGAAACCCUAAAAUUUCCCCCUAAAAUUGGUAUCCUCAAAACUCCCUUUUCACACACGCUGUUUUCAUCGGUUUACCUUGGAACCCAUACGAUCCCUUCCCCUUUCCCUUUCAGUUUCCCUUUAGUUUUGAAAAAACCCAAUUUUUAUAUUCAUUAUUCUGUUCUUAAUUUCGAUUUUCAUUUUUCUAUGUUCUUUCUUCAAUACAUUAUAGAAGCAUUUGGUCAUCUCGUCUACUUGUCUCUCCAAACUAUUGUUGGUAACUUGGUAUGGAGAGUGGAGAGUGGAGAGUGGAGAAUCGGAGAUGGCUCUUUAGGGCUUGGGCUAAGGUGAAUCGCCAUGCUUUAAACAUGAUUUCACAGUUUCACUCGCACCCGAAACCCCUCUAUUGAUUUUUUAGACUCUCUGUAAAUUUUUAGACUCUCUGAGGUAAGGUCCUGUUGAGCAUUUACAUGAUUCUCCCUUUUAUUAAAAUUUAUCUUUAAUUAUCCCUAUCAAAUGGAAAGCUAAAAUGUAAAGCAACAAGUUUAGCCAAAACCCAAACCAGCCCUUGUGUCUAUCUUCUUCAUUCAUUUUUAAUAUUAAUAACCAAUUUUUAUAAGUCCUUUCCCAUCUGCAAACUGAAAGCAGAAAAAGGGAAAAUAAUCAAAUAUUAUUAGUAAAAUCGCCAAUUUUGUCACAGUUCUCCAUGCUGCAGUCUCUAUCCAUAACUUUCGGUGUUAAAGGAGCCUUUGAUCCUGACUGGUGAAGGGCCAUAAGAGGUUGUUAGUUACAAACUUACAAGAAAUUUAUGGGUUUAGGCAUUUCAUGGGAGUAGCCGAAGAUAGUGAACCACCCUUGAAACGUGUGAAAGGGCCCUUGGAAGAAUCCAAGAGCUUGCCGGAGGAUCAUUCAACCGCAAAAUCUGUUUCUUGCUCUUUGGGAGAUCAGAUGGCUAGGCCUCUAACCUCCCAAGGGGAUGGGGAAACAAUUGGUUCACAAGGUGUUAUAAGAAAAGCAGAAUUUAUUAAAAUUAUAACUAGGGCAUUGUACUCGCUUGGUUAUGACAAAAGUGGUGCCCUUCUAGAGGAGGAAUCGGGAAUACCAUUGCAUUCUUCGGUGGUUAAUCUAUUUAUGGGGCAAGUGACCAAUGGGAAAUGGGAUGAUAGUGUGGCCACAUUGCGAACGAUUGGUCUCUCGGAUGAAAUAAUGAAGUCAGCAUCCUUCUUGAUUUUGGAACAGAAGUUCCUUGAACUUCUUAAAAUGGAAAAAGUUGCUGUUGCAUUGGAUACACUAAGGAAUGAGAUCGUUCCUCUUCAUGUCAAUCUCGACCGUGUUCAUAAGCUUGCUUCCUGUAUCAUCUCUCCUUCGCAAUGCAUAAGACUUGGUAUUUCUGGUCAAGAUACUGAGGGUACAAAGGGAUAAUUUUCAUUUUGUUGGUGACAAUGUUAAGAACCUUAAACCAGAACUGGCAAAGGGUGCAAAGCUGAAGUGCAGCAGAUGUGGACUAAAGGGUGCUGCACUUGGCUGUUAGGGAAGAGUCUGCCUGGCAUUUGCUGAUGAGGUACUGUGAUAUUUUUUAAUAAUUAUAUCUGUGGCUGCCUCAGCCCAUUGACGAUCAAAAGAAGGGAAGUCAGCUUCUGGAAGUAUAUGCAAUUGAAAUUCAAAUGUAUACCAAGACAAAGAACAACAAAAAGCUCAAGUAAUUAUACCAGAAAGCACUUGCUGUCAAGUCUGCAAUACCACAUCCUAGGAUCAUGGGAAUAAUUCGUGAAUGUGGUGGCAAGAUGGAUAUGACUGAGCGUCGAUGGGCUGAGGCAGCCACAGUUAUCUUUUUUAAUAAUUAUAUCUUUGACUUGCGUAUGUGUUUUAUUGUGCUGAAAGGUAAACUCGUAUACUGAUGAUAUUUUUGCAAGUACUGAAAUUUCUCGUUAAUUGAUUCUUUUUGGUGUUAAAAGUUUCAUGAUUGAUGAAAUUAGUCUUGACAACCAUGGGUGUUGUGAUGGUCCUAAAACUGGCAGACUCAGGGUAUUGGAUAAUGCACCAAAGCUCUUUGAUUAUUUGGCAGAGGGUUAGUGAAGCACAGGAUAUAGCCACAAAAUUAGGUGGACAAGUCAUUGGUCACACAUGGCUUUUAGAAUCAAUUGCAGCAUGCAAGUUGCCUUUUGUCAACUAACUAAAUAAUGAUGAUUGAAUUUUUUUAGGUAAAGAAUGACCAAUAACUUAAUAGACUAGUCCUGUUAUAGAAGGUAGAACUUGCUCUUUCUCUGUAUAUCUGUAUUGUAAUAGUCAUAUGAGCUCUUUUGAGUUUGGCAGCAACUAAUUGAACUUGGAUGGGGCAUUUUCAUCAUUACAUGAGCAAAGUUAUUUUUGACUUGUACAAUACCAUUAUAACAGCCAUGAACUGGAAUUACAUGUGAUAUUAGUAACUUGUACCAGCCCUUAAGGCUUCGACUUUACUUAAAACAGGAAUUACAUGUGGUCUUUGGCAAUUUUGCCCAGUAGAAUUAAGCUAAUUUUAUAGUUCUAUCUUUAAUUAAUGCAGGACUGAGCAAUGCUUCCUUUACAGGUCAGUUUCCUGUUUCUUUGUUAUGGAUGGAUGUAUUUAUUGGAAUAUGGGACUAAGUAACUUAAUACAAAGAAAUUUUACAUUUGUUUUUCUAUGCCUUUUAGAUCACCUCUAAUUUUAGCAUGACAACAACCCUCUCUGCUGGGUUUUUUGACCAUUGUUGCUGCUAUUACUUUCAUUUAGGUGUCAACUUUAUUUUAACAGAUGUUAUGCCUUAUAUCAUUUAGGUGUCAACUUUAUUUUAACAGAUGUUAUGCCUUAUAUGAUGCUAUAGGAGACAAAUAUAUUCCAUAGUUUUUCUUAUCCUUCUGUUUUUGUGCCGUUAUACUCUCUAAUCACAUGAUUUCCCUAAGCCAACCCCGUCAAUAAUGAUUGAUUGCUGAUGUAACAAUGUUUGAUUGCUAAUCACAUGAUUUUCACUUUUGUUUGUCUGCUGUUAAGUUUAUAGUGAGCCACUUGACUGCAUUUCUUUUUUUAUUUUUUACAACUUUUUCUGACCAACAAUUUAUUUGUUACAUAUAUGUUUUAGAUCUGGCCAGUCUAUUUAGAUGAGAACUUCAUUAAAAUUGUUUGUACCUUGAUAAAUUUCAGAUCUGGGAGGCUUCUUUCAGCUGUCCAUCAUGGUUUUCAUCUGGUGCUAGGAAUUUGAUUAAGCGUAUUCUUGAUCCAAGCCCUCUUACCCGUAUAACUAUUCCUGAAAUUCUACAAGAUGAAUGGUUCAAGAAAAGGUACAAGCGACCAAAAUUUGAGCAAGAUGAGGAUGUAAAUCUUGAUGAUAAUAUCUUAUAUUUUACAUGGUUAUGAUUUAAGUCCUUAUUUCAUUGAUAUCUUUAUAUUUAAUCUAAUUUUUAUUAUUUAUUUUAGUUUUGAUUCUAAA